UUGCUUUGGCAGCAGAUCUACUAAAAUUGGUAAUGAUACAGAGAAGAUUAGCAUGGCACCUGCACAAGGAUGACACGCAAAUUUGUGAAUCAUUCCAUAUUUAA